rnacentral:lncRNA from 1 species
CUUAUGUUUAGAUUAUUAUUUACGCUAUUUCUGCUGGAGUUACUAAUACUCUUUUGUUCUUUGUUUUUGUUUGGUUUUUGUUUUUCUUUCUUUUCUUUCGCUGAGCCGAGGGUCGAUUGGAAACAUCUCUGCCCUUUGGGGUAGGGGUAAGGCCCGUCUACGUAUUACCCUCCCAGACCCCACCUUGUGGAACUAUACUGGGUAGUUGUUGUUGUUGAAGUCUCGCACAUUGAAGGAGAUAAUUAUCUGAGCCUCAAAAACAACGUGUACGGGCUACCACAUUAUAAAAUUAAGAAAUCAGUAAUGUCCCACCUUCUUAAAGGCACAUGCAUGCCAAAUUGGGGAACAUAUGCCCUCAUUUCUGCUAUAAACAACGACAAUAACUAGUGAAAUACCCUUUUCUCCAAAAAAUAUACAACAAACAACCACCGAAAAUCAUAAACUAAGAAACUUCAGCUUGAACUUGUGAAACCCUAAACCUAAACCAGAAACAAUAAUACCACAAAUAAAUCCUAACCCACAAAUCAAAAACAACAAAGUAUAAUGAAAACAAACGUGCAAACAAAAGGAACAAUAACUACACUGAACUAAAUAACUGGUAGCACCAGAAUGAACACAAGUAUUUAAAUUCUAAAAGUCACCUGGAACCGAUAAUCGUCAAGGUACAAAAAGAAAUCUAAUAGUAGUAACACAAACCCUAGAACAUAAAUCAAGAUAAAUACGACAUGAAGAAAAAAUAGAAAAAGAAAAAAAAAUCAAAGUUUAAUAGCAGUAGAAAAAUUUUGUACGUUUAAAGAAUUUUAAAGCCAAGUCGCUAGUAGAACUUCACGCACAAAAUCGCCUAUCCAUUUUGCUCUCAGAACAAUGAGAAUUAUGACCCUCUUUCUAUAAU